CCUACGGGAGGCAGCAGUGAGGAAUAUUGGUCAAUGGACGAGAGUCUGAACCAGCCAAGUAGCGUGAAGGAUGACUGCCCUAUGGGUUGUAAACUUCUUUUAUAUGGGAAUAAAACGUUCCACGUGUGGGAUUUUGUAUGUACCAUAUGAAUAAGGAUCGUCUAACUCCGUGCCAGCAGCCGCGGUAAUACGGAGGAUCCGAGCGUUAUCCGGAUUUAUUGGGUUUAAAGGGAGCGUAGGUGGAUUGUUAAGUCAGUUGUGAAAGUUUGCAGCUCAACCGUAAAAUUGCAGUUGAAACUGGCAGUCUUGAGUACAGUAGAGGUGGGCGGAAUUCGUGGUGUAGCGGUGAAAUGCUUAGAUAUCACGAAGAACUCCGAUUGCGAAGGCAGUUCACUGGACUGCAACUGACACUGAGGCUCGAAAGUGUGGGUAUCAAACAGGAUUAGAUACCCCAGUAGUC
rnacentral:rRNA from 1 species